rnacentral:rRNA from 1 species
GAUGAACGCUGGCGGCGCGCCUAACACAUGCAAGUCGAACGGUUAAAGCACCUUUUAGGUGUGUAUAAAGUGGCGAACGGCUGAGUAACACGUGGGCAACCUGCCCUCCUCUUGGGGAUAGCCUCGGGAAACCGAGGAUAAUACCCGAUACUUCAAUGUGGCCGCAUGACGACAUUGAGAAAGCUUUUGCGGAGAAGGAUGGGCCCGCGGCCUGUUAGCUUGUUGGUGGGGUAGAGGCCUACCAAGGCAAUGAUGGGUAGCUGGGUUGAGAGACCGACCAGCCAGAUUGGGACUGAGACACGGCCCAGACUCCUACGGGAGGCAGCAGGGGGGAAGCUUGCACAAUGGGCGAAAGCCUGAUGCAGCGACGCCGCGGGCGGGACGAAGGCCUUCGGGUUGGAAACCGCUUUCAGCAGGGACGAGGCGAUAAGUGACGGUACCUGCAGAAGAAGCCCCGGCUAACUACGUG